CUUAUAUAUAACACCUACGUAUAAAAUACAUACAUAUUUCGAAUGACAAUUCGGUUGGACACGCGCGUUUAGUUUUGUUAUUGUUUGACGUAUGACGCGUUCUUUAUUGUAUAUAGUAAUGCUGUUCUCUACAAAAACGAGCCGGCAGGCAACAGAACGGUUUUGUGUGUCGUAGCGUUACCGUCUCUCGAAACGCGAAAUCACUCUUUAUAAUUUAUGAUAAGCAAUUAUCAUCCUGUCCGUUUAACUAGCUCUUGCCAUUAUUGACAUACGCAUAUCGAGAGGAUUAAUACUGAUUUAAGCAGAGACAUAUUUCAAAUGGAAUCUGGCACAAAAACACAAUGUAAUCAUGAUAAUCGGAUCGAGUGAUUCAGCUAGAAGUGUUGUACAUAAGCUACUUAUUAAUAAUCAAUUUAAUGAACCAAAUACAUGACAUUUAUUCUGUACAUUGAAUAUUUCGCGACAAUGACAAUUAGUGCUCAUUUUUGGAGUAUAUUGAUAAUUCAUGACUUUUUGUCAAUGAUUGAUCUUGAAAUAAUGGAGUGAUUCAGUAUCCCGAAGGGCUCAAUGCCCUAAAGUAGAGAAACCAACAGUAUCUAUUAUUAAUACAGCAUUACCACGAGUCAUUCAAUGGCUCUCAUGUGGCAAAUGCUAGUAGUGCGUUUGACACACUAUCGCUGGUUUUCACCGACAUAUAGCCGCAGGUUUAAUUGAAUCUGCGAACCCAUAGUCGGUCCUCGCGUUGUGCGUUAGUUUCAAAAGUAUUGUACAAAAAAAUAAGUAAAUAAAUAAUUGGACUAAUUA